rnacentral:rRNA from 1 species
UACGUAUGGUGCAAGCGUUAUCCGGAUUUACUGGGCGUAAAGGGAGCGCAGGCGGCGCGCCAAGUCAGUGGUCAAAUUGAGGGGCUCAACCCCUUCCCGCCAUUGAAACUGGCGAUCUUGAGUGGAAGAGAAGUAUGCGGAAUGCGUGGUGUAGCGGUGAAAUGCAUAGAUGUCACGCAGAACCCCGAUUGCGAAGGCAGCAUGCCGGCUUCCUACUGACGUUGAAGCACGAAAGCGUGGGGAUCGAACAGG